AUUUUCAGUCAUUGUGUUUUCAAACCUGCACCCCACUCCCAAGGGAGUCUACCUCCUACGGACCACUCACUUUUCUCCCAUCCUGUGUUGGCACACUCACAUUCACUCACCUUUUCUCCCGCAGUACCUAAUAGCCUCUCAUGUCCCCAGCCCAUUUUCCAGCCCAGAAAGGGCAGUUCUCACCAGGUGAAUUUGUGUGACAGUCCUUUUAAACUUCUUCCAUGAUCUUAGCAUGUUCUGGCUUUCACCACCUUCUUUAACAUGUGGACUGGAUUUGUCUACAGCUAUGGCUAUGUGCUGUUUCCUGGUCUCCUUCUGUGUACUGACUUCUCCUCUUAUCUUAGCUGUGUGCUCCUGUUUCUUCAUGUCUGGUGAUUUUUCAACAGGAUGCCAGACAGCGAUUCCUGUGUUGCUGGCUGCUGGUUAUUUUUGUGCUCUUUGCACUAUUUCUGGAUUCUGUUCUGGGAUGCAGUUAUUUUCCCUUAUUGCUCUUUCUGCAGCUUGUGUGUAAGCUCUGACAGUUGGGACAAGAGCAGCCGUCAAAUCAGGCUCGUUCUGCUGGUAUGGGUCUCUGAGCUCUUGGACUGCAGGCUGUGGCAUCUGCAUUCCACAGGGUUGGGGCUCAUGCCCCAGGGCUGAGCUGUCCUUCACCCGGUCACGACUCCCUUGGCUUCGGACGGAGAUAGUAGUCCUCCUCAGCUGCACCGGUAUGCCCUGCAUCCCCUCUUCAAGUGUCUGCACCCACCACGACUCCUCGUUCAGAGUCUGGGCCAUUUCUCAGCAGCUUCCCCUUCUGUAUGCCUUGCCAAAAUACUCAAGCACUGUCUCAGCCCGGGGAGUGACCCCUCCCCACCCUGGCUGCUGAUGCUGAGGCAGUGAGCCAGGGAAUCGUGGGACUCACCUCUUCAUUCCCCUUCCCUGGGAGUCACUCGCAGGAACUGGCUGGCUCCCAAAGCACCGGUGUCGCCGUCAUGUGCUCCCAACCGUGUUUCUAGGAUGGGCCGAAGGAAGAACACUGCCUCGGCGCAGAAAGAACAAAUGGAGAUGUACUGGAUACUUUAUGUCAGCUUGGCACAAACUAAAGUCAUCUGAAAGGAGGGAGCCUCAAUUAGGAAAAUGCCUCCUUAAGAUUCGGCUGUAGGCAUUUUUUCUACGGAGCGAUUGGUGGAGGAGGGCCCCGCCCAUUGUGGGUGGGGCCACUGUGUGCUGGCUGAGGAAGCCGCGCCGAGGAUCAAAUCAGUAAGCAACGCCCCUCCACAGCCUCUGCAUCAGCUCCUGCCUCCAGGUCCCUGCCCUGUUUGAGUUCCUGUCCUGACUUCCUUCAGCGAUGGACAGUGGUAUGGAAGUGUGAGCCCACAUAAACCCUUUCCUCUCCAA